rnacentral:antisense_RNA from 1 species
UUCAACGACGGGCCUUGGUGGGGAUACCUUCGGGUAUGCCGGUUGCUGUAGGUGCCGGUUCGCCAGCCUCGCCUUGUGCCCGUCACCUUU